rnacentral:tmRNA from 1 species
GGGGGCGAAAGGUUUCGACGGCGGUUCAGAGGUCAAAGGAGCGAGCCGAGUUUGUCCGGUGGCUCGACAAAAACCGGUCGCACAAUAAGUGCCAACGAGAGCUACGCUCUGGCCGCUUAAGUAGCGGUCACGCCCGCGGGGGGCUAGCCGUCGGUGCCCCGUAGGGCGUCAUAGGAGACGGCUGGCUCCAGGGGUCGGCCCCUGCCUCUGGAGCGAGACCCAGGGGGCUGGCUCGGGGCGGAUCCUGCCCAUGGGAGUCGCACCGAGCGAGAUCAAAACAUGGGCUACGCUCGUAGGGGCCUUUGGCCGAAGGCUAGCCGGACGGGGGUUCGAUUCCCCCCGCCUCCACCA